ACAGAUAACAGGCUAAAAUGCGCCUGAUACAGACUGAAUGAGUGAAUGAGGAAAUGAUAGAGCGCUGUGUCAGAAGGAGGAGACUGAAAGAAACCUGCUGCCGACCAGGUUAGGUUUAUAGACUCGGUUUCCAUAGUCACAGACUC